UACGAAGGGGGCUAGCGUUGCUCGGAAUCACUGGGCGUAAAGCGCACGUAGGCGGAUUGUUAAGUCAGGGGUGAAAUCCUGGAGCUCAACUCCAGAACUGCCUUUGAUACUGGCGAUCUUGAGUCCGGGAGAGGUGAGUGGAACUGCGAGUGUAGAGGUGAAAUUCGUAGAUAUUCGCAAGAACACCAGUGGCGAAGGCAGCUCACUGGCCCGGUACUGACGCUGAGGUGCGGAAGCGUGGGGAGCAAACGGG
rnacentral:rRNA from 1 species